GAUGGUUUAUGUGUUGUCUUGAGGAGAUUGGCCUACCCUUGUAGGUGCACCGAUAUGGCACCUCGAUUUGGGCGAAGUACACUUGAGUUGUGUCUCAUUUUCAAUAAAGUAAUAGAUACCAUCUACGAGACUCACCACCAUCGCCUUGAGAGUUGGGACCAGUCUUUCCUAGCUCCAGAGCAAUUGAACAAUUAUGCACUAGUAGUCACACUGACGUGAUGCCCCUAGUCUGCAAAAUUGUUUUGGGAUUGUGGAUGGGACAGUACGAAGAAUAGCUCGACCAAAGUAUACUGAUCAUACUGAUGUAUAAUGGUCAUAAGCGAGUACAUGCCAUCAAGUACACGCCAUCGACUCGAGUACAUGCCAUCCAUAACAAAUACAAAUAUUGAAUAUUUAAAUUAAUACAAUAAUUCAUAAUAUAUAUUAUAUACAUAUGUAUCAUAUUUACAAAUAUAGCGUGUCAACUCUUCCCCACUAAUUCCUGUCGCUCUUUCCUCUUAUACCAUUUUGUUUUUGUGCUUUCUCUCGAGGACCCCAUAAUGGUCCCUCACAGCCCGAGCUGUUACUUCAAUCCCUGGGAAGCUUGGUUGCAAUUUUUUGGCAAUGAUAAGCCAGCCAGCUGCCAGCACCCCUCUCCCUUGACUUUAAUUUGUGAUGUAGCACGCCCUCUGCUGCCAGCUCUGGGCAGCAUUAGGUCAUUUGUCUCAUUCUGAUUCCAGCUCAGAGCAGAC